rnacentral:rRNA from 1 species
GGCAACUGCCAUACCACCCGGUAGCCCAAGUUGCUCAAUGAAGCUAAGCAGAGCUGAGCCUGGUCAGUACCUGGAUAGGAGACUACAUGGGAAAACUAGGUUGCUGUUGGAA